rnacentral:rRNA from 1 species
GACGAACGCUGGCGGCGUGCUUAACACAUGCAAGUCGAACGGAAAGGCACUGCUUUUGUGGGGUGCUCGAGUGGCGAACGGGUGAGUAACACGUGAGUAACCUGCCCUUGACUUUGGGAUAACUUCAGGAAACUGGGGCUAAUACCGGAUAGGAGCUCCUGCUGCAUGGAGGGGGUUGGAAAGUUUCGGCGGUUGGGGAUGGACUCGCGGCUUAUCAGCUUGUUGGUGGGGUAGUGGCUGACCAAGGCUGUGACGGGUAGCCGGCCUGAGAGGGUGAACGGCCACAUUGGGACUGAGGUACGGCCCAGACUCCUACGGGAGGCAGCAGUGGGGAAUAUUGCACAGUGGGCGGAAGCCUGAUGCAGCAACGCCGCGUUCGGGAUGACGGCCUUCGGGUUGUAAACCGCUUUCGCCUGUGACGAAGCGUGAGUGACGGUAAUGGGUAAAGAAGCACCGGCUAACUACGUG